AGGGUGUCGCCAACUUCUGGGUCUCGAUGUCCUUGUUCCUCAUGGAGGUACUUCUGUUGGUGUCGUCUGGUCGUAGAGUUGUCAUAUUUGUUCUUCAGCACAAGGGUGGUCGCUUGGAAAGAUUGCUUCUUUUCGAGUUGCCCAAGAGGAUUUUAAGUAAUCACAUGGUCAGGAAUAAGGGGGCUAGCAGCUAUUUGCAAGUUUUAAACAUGCCGACGAGGGAUGUCAAGAAGAUAAGAGUGGGAGUGCUAAGGUAAAACCUUGCUUUCUUUGAAAAUUUAGGAGAGGUGAGAAAGAUACAGGUUUGUAAAUACUUUUGAAGGGUCUGGAAAGCUGUUUUAUUGUAAUUAAAGUCCGUGCUAACUAAGGGCUUCCUACAGUCAGGAUGGCUCUGAUACCAGCUCUGUGGGGACCGGACUUACGAGUCGAGAUCACCGAGUGAAAGUGCUCAGUGAUCCCAGAGAUCAAUGCUCACCGAACACAGAGAACCUUAAUAACAAGAGUCUUACAUCCAUACAUACUGUUUGAUACAAUAAAUGACCAUUAUGGUCAAGUCUUACAUACGUAGGGACUUGAGGGCCAACACACCAAACUGGACCAAUAGCGGAAAUAUUGAUCAAAAGCGCGAACCCAUGCCAUCAGCCUCAACCUACAAGCAUUCUGACUGGGAAGCGUCCUAGCUCGGAAGAACGUCACCAAGUUACUCUUCACCAUAUCCUUUGCUCUCAAAGCUGCUCAAUGAAAUAGCAAAUGGGAAGCCAUUGAGUACUUUUGAUUGUACUCCCAAACAACGCAUGAUAUGAACAAUGCAAGUGAAGGAUAACAAUAAUGUGUAUCUUUGGUGGACAACAACUUGGUUGUAAUAACAUGAUCAUGGGUUUGCAACAUAAGUUAAAUGUUACUUGAAUAAUAGGUUACAGAUACCAAUAUAUCUGUCGAGGGUUGAACACUCCGGGUUCACCCUAUAUGCCAAGUCACCAAACUUGGUCAUAUCAACUAUUUCUUAAUAACACCAUACUCACACACACUUGGUUUAUGCGAAAAUAAUUGGACAUAGUUUAAGCAGCACCACCCAACUGUCCUUGACCGUGGACACGGCUAUUCGAAUAGUUUUACACUCUGCAUAGGUAGUACACUGGACCCACGAGAUCCGGGAAACUUCCGUGUCAUCCACGACUUGCUGUAUAUAACAUACCCGAGGUAAGUUCCGGAUCAAUGCCUUUCCCUUGACGAUACUAGACAAAGAGGUCCACUCGAUUGGUACCUAGGCCACAUGUUGUAGGUCUUACGAGCACCGUCUCCAGACAGUAUCAACCAUGCGGGGACCAACGGUGUGCAUGGAACACGUAAAAACGGCAUAGUCGCCCUACCUGGCACGACCCGAUUUCGACAGUGACCACACAUAACUCUCUCCACUAGUAAUGUGGCUCUUUGCUAGCACCGACCAGAGUAGUCAACAAAGCCCUGUCCCAUAAAGGGGUAACAUGGUCGUACAUGUAAGGUUGGGACGGUCGACACAUCAUAAAUCGAAUCCCAUUUCCAAAACCAUACUCACUCAAAAUACCCGGUGUACCACUUCUCCGAAAGUGGCCACCUAACUCAUCAU
rnacentral:lncRNA from 1 species